rnacentral:rRNA from 1 species
UACGUAGGGUGCGAGCGUUAAUCGGAUUACUGGGCGUAAAGCGUGCGUAGGUGGUUUGUUAAGUCUGUUGUGAAAGCCCCGGGCUCAACCUGGGAAUGGCAAUGGAUACUGGCAAGCUAGAGUGCGGUAGAGGGUAGUGGAAUUCCCGGUGUAGCGGUGAAAUGCGUAGAGAUCGGGAGGAACACCAGUGGCGAAGGCGGCUACCUGGACCAGCACUGACACUGAGGCACGAAAGCGUGGGGAGCAAACAGG